UACGAAGGGGGCUAGCGUUGUUCGGAUUUACUGGGCGUAAAGCGCACGUAGGCGGAUCGAUCAGUCAGGGGUGAAAUCCCAGAGCUCAACUCUGGAACUGCCUUUGAUACUGUCGAUCUGGAGUAUGGAAGAGGUGAGUGGAAUUCCGAGUGUAGAGGCGAAAUUCGUAGAUAUUCGGAGGAACACCAGUGGCGAAGGCGGCUCACUGGUCCAUUACUGACGCUGAGGUGCGAAAGCGUGGGGAGCGAACAGG
rnacentral:rRNA from 1 species